GUCGUGAGAUGUUGGGUUAAGUCCCGCAACGAGCGCAACCCCCGUCGCAUGUUGCCAGCAUUUAGUUGGGGACUCAUGCGAGACUGCCGGUGACAAACCGGAGGAAGGUGGGGAUGACGUCAAGUCAUCAUGCCCCUUAUGUUCAGGGCUACACACGUGCUACAUUGGCGCAUACAGAGGGCUGCGAUACCGCGAGGUGGAGCGAAUCCCUCAAAGUGCGUCUCGGUUCGGAUUGCAGGCUGAAACCCGCCUGCAUGAAGGUGGAGUUGCUAGUAAUCGCGGAUCAGCAUUGCCGCGGUGAAUACGUUCCCGGGCCUUGUACACACCGCCCGUCACACCACGGGAGUGAGCAACACCCGAAGCCGGUGGCCUAACCCGCAAGGGAGGGAGCCGUCGAAGGUGGGGCUCGUGACUGGGGUGAAGUCGUAACAAGGUAGCCGUAGCGGAAGCUGCGGCUGGAUCACCUCCUUUCUAGGGAGUCCCUUGAUGGGACCCUCAUGGCACGGCGUCAUCGCCGGCCUUGCGCCAGCACUUCGGUGCCCGUGCGAGGAAUCGAUGCGAUGACCUCCGACCAUGGGGCCUAGUACGUCGACCGAACCUGGCCGGGCCAGCCGGAUCUCCUUUCUUGGGGAUCCCGCCACGCCUUCGCGUGGCGCCACACAUCGUGGAGCUCGAGCCCGUGCAUGCUGUUGAGUUUUGAGAGACCGCGCUCCGCGAGGAAUCCCCUCGUGCGCACCUCUCGGCGGCCCUUGAAAACUGCACAGCAGCCACAUGCCCGUUCUGACUCCAACGCCAGAGCGGGCGUACGUGUCUCCCCUUCAUCAUCCGAUGAGCCGGGGGAGACACACGGGUAAUUCACCGAGACGGGAUCUCUAUGCAGAUCCCUCUCAGAAUGACGAUCACCGUCAAGAUAGUAAGGGCACAUGGUGGAUGCCUUGGCACCUAGAGCCGAUGAAGGACGUGGACGACUGCGAUAAGCCACGGUGAGGCGUUGAACAGCCUUUGACCCGUGGAUUU
rnacentral:sRNA from 1 species